UAAUACCACUUGUAGAGAAUGCCUGGACCCUGGGAUGUCCAGUGGCCACCAUCUUCACUGUCUUCUCCUCCUCUUUUUGUAGAUGUGGCUGCUACUGAGCAGCUCCUCCACCUCGUGGCUCUGAGAUAUGGCAACUCCUCCCAGAAAAUUAGCUUCCCUGAUUUUGUGUGUUUCAUGAUCCGACUUGAAAAAAUGGCAAAGGUAUUUUAUAACUUGGCUGAGGAUGGAAGAAUUUAUUUCAAUGAAACACAGUGGCUGACUCUUAUCAUGUACUGCUAAGGCAGUGGCACAAUACAGAAUUGUUGGCAGCUUUGGUGUUUAUUGAUGCAUGAAAGGUGCUUGGGUUGCAUCACAAGAAGGAUGAAGAUGGCUCUCCACAAGCUAAGCAGUGUUGAUGGAUGAACUAGACUUUCUGGGAAUAAAUAGCAUAUGGUUGGUAGUAUUCUGCUUUCU
rnacentral:lncRNA from 1 species